rfam:Papio anubis isolate 1X1155 chromosome 4, whole genome shotgun sequence.
CCAACGGCCCUUUUCAGGGCCACCUAUCCACUCAGGAGAAAGAGU